ACAAAACCAGUGGUCCAAUUAUAAAUAUAUACAACCAAAGCCUCUCUUCGUUAUCUUCCUCUUCCAUGUAGAGUAGGUUUCAGUCGGUUCAGUCUCCUCUGAGAAAUCAAAGUGACCCUUUCGGUUUCCAUGGAGCAGUGAAUCUUCUUCUACCUCUACAUCUCCCCCUUCUUAACUCUUUGGAUCAUUAAUGCUUCAGAAUCCUAACAAUUCAGUUAUUCCUUCUUAUAUAACCUCAUCGUAAAAACUGAAACUUUACAUAUCAAAUCCAGUAAUCACCAUUACAGAUUUAGAGAAAUCUUCCAACCCUUUCUGUCAAGUGACAAUCUCACCAGAAGACGCCAAUUAAUUAAUUAAUCUGUUUGGUCUUCUUCAUCCUAGAAAGACAAAGUCCUUCGUGGAUUAGAUCGGGACGGCUAUUGCAGCUUCGAUUGGCGGAAGAGCUAUCUGACUCUGAUCCAAAAAAUUCCGGAGGCGGAUCAUCAGAAUUAUCACUGCCUGUUACCCUUCCUCUUGAUUCAUACGCAAGCGCACAUGAAAACCCUAGGCAAACCCAUUAUCCAGAGAACUUGGGAGAGGAUGGUGUCAACUUUUACGCUUUGGGCUGUGAGUCACAGACUGUAACGUUGUGGGCCAGAUAAAAAAGAGAAAAUGGAUGACGUGUUAGAGCUACACCAGUGUCGAAGAUCUGAAAAAAAGUUUCCAUGGCCACCGCUUCUGUCGUAUAUGACUCAGUGAACCUCUCCACUUAUCUGUUACACUUGGUAAACCUUCCACCCUAUUGAUUCAUCUGCUUGAAGAUGUUUCAUCAUCGUUGCUCACUGAAAGCAGCAGCAACAACUACCUUGAUUUGAUAAAGUGACAUAGCGGUUUGUGGAGGAAGCACUACAAGAGCACGGAGGAGAGAAGAGGAUAUUUCCAAACGCAAGAAGGUGAUUCUGAAAAAAAAAAGAGAAAGUCUGUUCUUCAGUUGUCUACGAGAUGAUUUUUGCUUUUAGCUGCAAGCAAAUAAUGAAAGUAUGAUUCUGUACUCAGAAGUCAAAAGGCUGGACUUAUCCACUCUUCUUACAAUUUAAACUGCAUCUGAAUAAGAUUUGUUGUUUUAGCUACACCUUACAUCUCUGAAUAACUCUUCUAAAACUGUACGAUAUUUUUGUUUUAAAAGCCUUGCCAACCUUCUUGGUUGUGAAAUGUUUUAGAUCA